UUUCAAUUAUGAUUACUGCUGGAAAUGUC
rnacentral:piRNA from 1 species